rnacentral:rRNA from 1 species
AGAGUUUGAUCCUGGCUCAGAUUGAACGCUGGCGGCAUGCCUUACACAUGCAAGUCGAACGGCAGCGCGGGGCAACCUGGCGGCGAGUGGCGAACGGGUGAGUAAUAUAUCGGAACGUGCCCUGGAGUGGGGGAUAACGCAGCGAAAGUUGCGCUAAUACCGCAUACGAUCUAAGGAUGAAAGCAGGGGACCGCAAGGCCUUGUGCUCCUGGAGCGGCCAAUAUCUGAUUAGCUAGUUGGUGGGGUAAAGGCCUACCAAGGCAUCGAUCAGUAGCUGGUCUGAGAGGACGACCAGCCACACUGGAACUGAGACACGGUCCAGACUCCUACGGGAGGCAGCAGUGGGGAAUUUUGGACAAUGGGGGCAACCCUGAUCCAGCCAUUCCGCGUGAGUGAAGAAGGCCUUCGGG